CCUACGGGGGGCAGCAGUGAGGAAUAUUGGUCAAUGGGCGCGAGCCUGAACCAGCCAAGUAGCGUGAAGGAUGACUGCCCUACGGGUUGUAAACUUCUUUUAUAAAGGAAUAAAGAGAGGGACGCGUGCCUCUUCGUAUGUACUUUAUGAAUAAGGAUCGGCUAACUCCGUGCCAGCAGCCGCGGUAAUACGGAGGAUCCGAGCGUUAUCCGGAUUUAUUGGGGUUAAAGGGAGCGUAGAUGGGAUGUUAAGUCAGUUGGGAAAGUUUGCGGCUCAACCGUAAGAUUGCAAUUGAUACUGGCAGCCUUGAGUACGGUAGAGGUAGGCGGAAUUCGUGGUGUAGCGGUGAAAUGCUUAGAUAUCACGAAGAACUCCGAUUGCGAAGGCAGCUUACUGGACUGCCACUGACGUUGAUGCUCGAAAGUGUGGGUAUCAAACAGGAUUAGAUACCCGAGUAGUC
rnacentral:rRNA from 1 species